rnacentral:rRNA from 1 species
UACGAAGGGGCGUAGCGUUGCUCGGAAUCACUGGGCGUAAAGCGCACGUAGGCGGACUCUUAAGUCGGUGGUGAAACUCCUGGAGCUCAACUCCAGAACUGGCCCUUCGAUACUGAGGAGUCUCGAGUCCGGGAGACGGUGAGUGGAACUGCGAAGUGUAGAGGUGAAAUUCGGUAGAUAUUCGCAAGAACACCAGUGGCGAAGGCGGCUCACUGGCCCGGUACUGACGGCUGAGGAGCGAAAGCGUGGGGAGCGAACAGG